rnacentral:rRNA from 1 species
AUGUUCAAGCACCGCCUCCGCGACAUCGACCAGGGGUGGCAUGAGGACGGCUACUCCGCCUGGUCAUGGGACAGGGAGAGGAGCGAGGAGGAGACCCGGCAGAUCUUCGUGGAGUGGAAGGCCAUGAACGAAAAGAUCUACCGCUCCAUCGACCACGAGGAGCACCGGUACACCAUAUUCAAGGACGCCCUCCGUCAAGUCGAUUGGAACAACGCCGGCUACGCCUUAGGGGUCGACACUAACCACCAGGGCAUCAACGGGUUCACCGACCUCACCAAGGAGGAGUUCAAUGUCAUUUGCUCCGGGUUCAUCCUGGAGGGCUUCGAGCCAUCGCCGGGCGAGUUAAAGAGGGUGGCUGAGAUCCAGGAGCGCUUGCGGCUAGUAUAUGCCCCUCCAUCCCUUUGGGCUCAUUGA